CCUACGGGUGGCAGCAGUCGAGAAUCAUUCACAAUGGGGGAAACCCUGAUGGUGCGACGCCGCGUGGGGGAAUGAAGGUCUUCGGAUUGUAAACCCCUGUCAUGUGGGAGCAAAUUAAAACGCUAGUACAACCCGAGGAAGAGCCUGCGAACUCUGUGCCAGCAGCCGCGGUAAUACAGAGGGUGCGGGCGUUGAUAGGAAUUACUGGGCGGAAAGCGCUCGGAGGCGGUAUGUCAAGUCAAGGGUGAAAUGCCCGCGCUCAAAGUGGGAACUGCCUUUGAAACUGGCAAACUGGAGUGUGUAAGAGGAUAGUGGAAUUCCAGGUGUAGGAGUGAAAUCCGUAGAUAUCUGGAGGAACAUCAGUGGCGAAGGCGACUAGCUGGCACAUAACUGACGCUGAGGAGCGAAAGCGUGGGUAGCAAACAGGAUUAGAUACCCCUGUAGUC
rnacentral:rRNA from 1 species